GGGGAUAGAGGCUGUUGCUCAGUAGCAAAACAUCUGCUUGGCGUGCAGAAGUCCCAGGUUCAAUCCCCUGCAUCUCCA
rnacentral:tRNA from 1 species